rnacentral:rRNA from 1 species
GGGAGGCAGCAGUAGGGAAUCUUAGACAAUGGGGGCAACCCUGAUCUAGCCAUGCCGCGUGUGUGAUGAAGGCCCUAGGGUCGUAAAGCACUUUCGCCAGAGAUGAUAAUGACAGUAUCUGGUAAAGAAACCCCGGCUAACUCCGUGCCAGCAGCCGCGGUAAUACGGAGGGGGUUAGCGUUGUUCGGAAUUACUGGGCGUAAAGCGCACGUAGGCGGAUUAGUAAGUUAGAGGUGAAAUCCCAGGGCUCAACCCUGGAACUGCCUUUAAUACUGCUAGUCUUGAGUUCGAGAGAGGUAAGUGGAAUUCCGAGUGUAGAGGUGAAAUUCGUAGAUAUUCGGAGGAACACCAGUGGCGAAGGCGGCUUACUGGCUCGAUACUGACGCUGAGGUGCGAAAGUGUGGGGAGCAAACAGGAUUAGAUACCCUGGUAGUCCACACCGUAAACGAUGAAUGCCAGACGUCAGCAAGUAUACUUGUUGGUGUCACACUAACGGAUUAAGCAUU